GAUUAACGCUGGCGGCGUGCAUAACACAUGCAAGUCGAACGAUGAAACUCAUUAGAUUUCUUCGGAAUGAAAAUGAAUGGAUUAGUGGCGAACGGGUGAGUAACGCGUGAGUAACCUGCCUUACACAAGGGGAUAGCCUCUGGAAACGGAGAAUAAUACCCUAUGAAACCAGACAAUCGCAUGAUAAUCUGGUCAAAAUGUUUAGUGGUGUAAGAUGGACUUGCGUCUGAUUAGCUAGUUGGUGAGAUAAAAGCUCACCAAGGCAACGAUCAGUAGCCGGCUUGAGAGAGUGUACGGCCACAUUGGGACUGAGACACGGCCCAGACUCCUACGGGAGGCAGCAGUGGGGAAUUUUGCACAAUGGGGGAAACCCUGAUGCAGCGACGCCGCGUGAUUGAGAAGGCCUUCGGGUUGUAAAAAUCUUUUGUAUAGGAAGAAAAUGACAGUACUAUACGAAUAAGGGCCGGCUAAUUACGUG
rnacentral:rRNA from 1 species